AACAAGCGCUGAGGGCCCUCCGCCGGGGGGCCGCCAGGCUGGCGCCCGCUGCCUGGCUCGGGGCGGGGGGGCACGGCCCCACGCGGGACAGGCGGUCCCCGUGGCCCUGCCGGCCGGUGGGUGGUGGGCGAGGGCCUUCCCCAGGCGCUCAGCUUCCAGCUGCGGCCCUGCGAGGGGUGGCUGAGGCAGGGGGUGAUGCCUGCGGCUCCCCACGGACACGAGGGGGUCCGGACCGCCAGAGCCACCCGGGGUCCAAAGCUUAUGAGAGGGGGCCCAGGGGGGCUGCAGCAGCAGGGCAGGAGGGUCGCAGCUGGAUGGGGAGCGAUUUCCCAAAGCCCAGGAGGAGGCAGGAAGGGAAGCCGCUGCCCAUCGAGAGGACGAGAGGCUCGGAGAUCCUCUUUGGCAUCGCGCCGUGUGCCCUGGCCCUCUCGCAGUCGAGGAGGGACCUGUUCAGGUUGUUCCUCAAGGAGAGCGCCGGCUCUCAGCGGCUCGUCAUGAGCGAGUUUGUCCUUCAGGCCGCGGCCCGGGGGGUGCCCGUGCACCGUGUCGGGAGGAGAGAGCUCGAUGCGCUGUGCAGGGGUCGGGUCCACCAGGGGGUUUGUUUAGAGGCCACCCCGCUCCGUUUCAAGAGUUUGGAGGAAGCUGAGAAGCCCGAUGUGGGGGAUGAAGAGAGUCCGAACCGACAGCUGGUUUGGCUGGUGCUGGAGCAGAUCCAGGAUCCCAUGAACCUGGGCGCACUGUUGCGCUCUGCCUACUUCUUGGGGGUGGACAGAGUGGUGACCAGCCAGAGGAACAGCUGCCCCUUGACUCCGACAGUGAGCAAAGCUAGCUCUGGAGCUAUGGAAGUCUUUGAUGUCUACAGCACAGAUGAUCUCCGGAGCUUUUUGAAGGCUAAAGCUGCAGAAGGCUGGGAAGUUGUGGGAACAGUGAGCAAGCCUGAAGAGGUGGAAAAUGUUCCUGUCAUCAGUUGCUUGGAAUUUCGGUGGAAUAAACCCAUUAUCAUAGUAAUAGGUAAUGAAGGUGACGGACUUUCCCUGGAGACGCAGCUCUUGUGCCAUCGGAUGCUGGCCAUUCCCCCUGGCAGAGCGCUUCACCCGGGUAUCGAGUCGCUGAACGUCUCUGUGGCUACUGGUAUUCUCCUGCACUCCAUCUGCAGCCAAAAGCUGAGGCAGUGACUGAUUUUUAUUGUGGCACGUGGUGGAGGUCACCUAGCCUGGACCUUUGGCAGAAGGAAGCUGCUUGGUGUUUCAUGGCUGCUUUCUGUCAGCGUGGAUGUGGAAGUGCUCUUUCCAGUUUUUUCACCAUCUCUACAAGGUACAGGAUGUGUCCCUGGGAGAGGCUGGCCGGCCUUGCCGAGGGUGCUGGCUGCGGUGCUGGCUGCAGGGCUGGGACAGGACGAGGGCUGGGACAGGACAGGUCGCUCGGCUGCUGCAGCAGCUGUGGGGACUUCCCUUGCCGAGGAGAAACGCAGAACAUCGCCCAGCCAGGGGCUGGCCUGCAGGUGGGAUCCUGCUCAGCCUUGCACUGAAACCUUCUGCCGUUUAGUGGUAUCAAGCUCUCACUUCUGUCACUGCAGCUGGAGAGGGUGCCUGGUGUGUGGUGGCACAUAUCCUGAGCUGUGGCUGCCCCUUUGCCUCUCCUGUGCAAAAGGACAGAAGCCAAAUUCCCCCAAAAAUGACUGCUGCAGUGCCAGACAAGGCUUUGGUGCCUGCAUCUGAAGGUGUUCACCGAACAGCAGCGAAAGGUCUGCUGGAUUGCUGGGGCGAUGGCUGCUGGGCAGCACUUUAAUAAGAGGAGGUACUUCAUUAAGUUUGCAUGGGUUUGGGAAAGCCGUGCACCCUCAGACCAUGCGUAGCCGUGCUGGUGUAUCCCCCUAAUGAGGAGGCAGGUGAGUAACGAUGGAGCAGUUACUUUUUUGAACCCAAAAAGCUUCGAGACCACGGUGGCUCCGUCAGUGGGGCGGGUGUGGGGACAUUGCUAGGAGCCUUGGGGCAGGGGCCUGCCUGGGUCUCUCCAUCCCCCUGCACGGUGAUCGGUUUUCCUCUGGGAGCAGUUUCCAGUGGUUUGCCUGGUCCUGUUUUAAAUGUGCCAACGAGUGGGGUUUUGCAUUCCCAGGCCUUGCAGGCAGGAUGGAUCAGAAUCCCUGCAGUCUCUCCUCUGGUGGCUCAGCAUCCAUCGCUGCAGCGGCAGCGACUCCCCGCAAAUUGCCCCGUGCAGCCGCCGUCUGCACAGCACCUUGCUGUGGCACUCGAGCGUCAGACCGGGCUUACCAGGGGCUGUAUGAGGUUUGCAUUUUAAGAGCUUCUGGUGCUUUAUGAUUAUUUUUACCAGGAGUUUGUCUGCCAGCUCUGCUGGCACAUCCAGGGAGUGCGCUGGGGGCUGUGUUACGUCUGCUGGUGCAAGGCAAGGGAAACAGGGAUCUGAGUGCACAAAAGGGGCUGGGGCUCAGACCUCGUGCCUGACUGCUGCUCCACGGGCGUCAUUGCGAGUGCAGUGAAUCCCACCCCAGACAGCUACAGCUGAUGCAUUCAGCACGUCUCCCUUGGCGUUAACUUUUGGCCCUGCUUUGCAUUGCUGGUGCCCAGCUUAUGGAUAUGGGUUUGGCUUCUGGCACAGCCAACACCUCUCCUCCUGCCCGAGCCGCAUCCUGCUGUGGAUCCAGCAGCCCUGAGGUCUAAUGCUGCCGGGAGGAGCACGGGGACCUCUGCAGAGUGGCACCUUUUGAGAUGGAGCUUUCUGCUGCGUGAUUUGCCCCCGAUCUAAUAAAUGCGAUCCAUUAAUUGGAUCAUUGCCUGCUUCUCCAGUUAAUUUCCUGGAUAUUUUUAAACGUUAAAAUGUAGUUUUUAUAGUCUUUCAUUAUUUUUAGCCUUAAGCUCGACUAUAAUCGUCCCUGUAAUGUAACUGUAAAAAACUCCCGGCUUUAUAUCAUAAAGGAGGACAUUAAUUGUCAUUUUUUGUGUACAUCAGCAAGAUCAAAACAUGUUCCCUGAUUACUUCUGUUUGUACACAGAGUCUCUUUGAUAUUUAGAUAUGAAUAAAGUGUGUGCGCGUAAUUUGAAAGUCAAUUCUUCCCUCCCUGCUGCUUGUCAUGGAUUCCUCUCAGAAGCGUAUUUACCAAAUUGAUUUUAAAAUUUAGUAAUUGCCCUUCCAAAAUGAUUUCUCAAUAAUCAAAGUGUCUCUAAGCACAGUGGCAAAAUAUUUGUCCUUGCGAGUUCAGAAAAUGCGCUCUGCGCCUGUCUGUUUAAUCUCAGACCAGGCUGAGCACAAAUCUUUUCAUCCCCCAAAAUCAACUCGAGGGAGAACAGGCUUGGAGAAGCUCAGCUGAUGCCCCAAAUUUAGGUUCUGUGCACAGAUUAUUAACGACCAAAACCAAAUCAUUGCAUAAAAUCCUCAGCUGGCUCCUAAUGAGGCUUCAUGAGAGGGGCUGGCAGUGCUUUUGGGCAGAGGACAGCUGUUUUCUCUGUGCCAUGGUCGGUGCCAUGCCACGGCCAGGGCUGCCCCAUGCUUGUGCCUGGUGCUUGCACCACCUCGGGUGGCUGGGCCACGUGCUGUGGAAUGAGAUCAAUUUGGCUGCUCCAGAGCUUCUUGUUCUCAUUUGCAGCUGCUUUCAAGAAAGUUGUGGGUUUAUUAUUUUUUUAAAGCAGCUUUGGCACCAUCCCCUUUAUUCUUAAGCCCUGUGCCCACCCGACGAGCGCAGGUCUCCAGCCUUAAUCGUCCCAUUUUUCUGCAGCAGCUUUAUAACGAGGCUGUGCUGAAAAUCGGGUGUGAGGGCUCAGCCUGGGCACGCGGCCCCUCCGGGUGCGGUGGGGAAUCCUCCAGCCGCGCCACAGCGAUGAUCGGAGUUUGUAAAUGUAAUCAACCUUGAGGUCUUGUUACUUCCACAGGUGCAAUUAACAUUACCAUCUGCUAAUCUGUGAUUAACGAUGUUUACAAAUAUGCUACAACAUGUUAAAAUGUGCCUGCGCUCUUUUAUUAUUAUUAUUAUUAUUUUUUUCCCCUCUGUUUCCCCUGUUUUGGCAUGAGAGCUGUGCCGGCGGCAGAGGCGCGGCGAGGGCUCCCGGCGGAGGGCUCGCCGUGCGCCACCACCAACUCGCAGACGUUUUGCUUUCGUUACUUAAAAGUGCUGUUAAACUCCAAACCAGCUGUAGGAAUGACAAGUUCAAAUCAGGAGGUCAGUACUGCUAAAUGGGAUUUAAUUGCACGGGGGUUGAGGUACAAACUGAUGAAUCUGAAUAAUAAAACUUUGUUGGAGGCGACAUAUGGCACAGCUUAAAGUAAAUUUUUAUUGAUCGUCCCACAACGGCUGUGUUAAUGGGAUGGCAGUCUUUGCGUUGGGUGGGAGAUUGAUGUGGAGUUUUAAUAACGUCACCCAGGAAUAUUGUGGAUUCUAAUAGGAGAGUUUUUAAUUUUUUUUUUUAAAGUGUUUUCUAUUAACUGCCUCUUUCUUUUUAACACGGAGAGGAAUACAUUAUAUCUCUACAGUAUGUCCUCCAGAUCUAGGUUACAUGUAAUUGCUCCGUAAUUGGUAGAACCAUGUAAAAGCCAUGGUAUUUGCCAGUCAACCCUCCUAAGUUACCAUGAAAUUGAAGUGUGAUAUUUAUUCCCUAUAAAACUUGCGACCCAAAUAUUGUGUAAGAUGAGGCUUGGUUUACUGCAGCGGCGUUUUUGCAGGGGCUGUGCCGUGCAUGAUGCAUGCGCGUCUGGGGCUGUGUGCCUUUAUUAUCGUAACUGGGGGUGUUGGGCUUGUUUUUUUUUUUUUUUUGAAUAGGUGCUGGAGGGGGAAUUUUGCUUUGAGGGAAAAUGUUUUAACCUCACUUGGGCUUCAGUCUCAGGCUGACUGAAGUUAUCUUGUGCUCCGAUUCAAACUGAUGGAGGUUUUUGGGGUAACUGAAUAAAUUCUUCUUGUGUUUUCAGUGGGCUGGGGUAGUAAUUAUACUUACUGUCUUUCUCAAAGCCUCUGGAGAUGAAAUAUUUGUCUGGGUAUUGGGAUCCUCAGCUGGGAGAUGCUCUGCAAGUACACAGGGUUCUCGUUAGACUAAAAUAGUGGUGACUGGCUUCAGCACCGGGACGAAUGUCACUGCCGAACGCGGGUACCUAAAUUUAGAGAUGAAAGAUGUGCAUUGCGUGCUCCUUGCAGCUGGAUGCUAUUUGUGUUUAAUUACAUCUCCCCGCGCAUCACGCUGUUACGAAGUUGUUUGUGCUGAAUGCAUUUUGUAUGUGCAAGCAGGCACGCCAAAAUGAUGCUGACCAGGCUGGGGGCUGCUGGUAAUGCUGCCGAGGCCCGUGGCAGCAUCCCUCGUGGGCUGUGUCCGUGGGGUGCCCGCGAUCCAGCUGCUGGAGGCUGGGAGGUUUUUGCCCAGUCGGUGCAGAAUGGAUGGGUGGAUGCAGCGAUGGCUCAAAUAUGCUCGCUGCAUGGCUUUAGCUAUGCACAGAGAAGCUGCAAGAUCAGCAGUGUUUCUCCUGCACUCCGUAAGUGUUAGCUCAGCUCUUUUCCCUGGAGAUCUGAGAACCAGACCCUGCAGGUCCUGACGAUGCCAAGCUCUGUCCCGGGUCCUGCUCCAAGACUGGUGGGUUCUGGUUGCACGGCGGAACAGAGGAGGUGGCGGUGUCUGCCGGCGCCUUCGCAGCUUUGCCAGCCCUCAUUAGCACCUUCCGGCGUGGCGCAGCUUGUUCAAACCAUAUCACAAGUCUUCUGCUUGAGAUUGCAUCUGUGCCUAAUAUGCAUUUUUAUAUAAACAAGGGUACUAAAUGGCCUCUCAGUUCCCUCUGUAAUGUCUUUUUUAAUGGAAGGUCCUGAAUUAAGAACAUAUAUAUAUGACUCUAAGAAUUUUCUAAGUGAUAUUGAAAAGCUAUUGUAAGGUAGGAUUCCUUCUUGCAAAAUUAUUUUAAUGAGGUUCCAGUUUAUUUUCUGGCUAUAUUUUACUUAUUUAAUCCUCCAGAGGGGUUUUUCAGAGGCAGCAUCUCAUUUUCAAUGCAACUAUUCUUAACAUCAGGGAAAACUACCUUUCUGAAAUGCAUGAAGGGGAAAAAAAAAAAAAAAAAAGAAGAACCAGAGGAAGAUGUACGAGAUAAGAAUAAACUUGAAAAGCUUUGAGGUGGUUUAUGGCUUCUCUUGAAAGAAUAACAGUUCAUGUAUUUUUGUUAUGGUGUGGUUUAAUGAUGCUUGCAGAAAAAAGAUAAGGUAGAAAUGGAAAUAUAAAAUUAAACCAGCAAA